rnacentral:misc_RNA from 1 species
CGAAAUGAAAUCGUAACGUAAAUUGAACUGAAGCUUUCUGCCAAUAUCACAGAAACUAAGGCCGACCGACGGUAGCAUGCAUAGGAGAAGGUUAUUCAGAACGUUGACCUCGACAACAUAUUUCAGGAUCAUUGAAAUCGAUGAAGUGGUCCGCUUUUGUUACAUUUUCAGAAAUGUUAUAGAAAUUUUACUUAUGUUGACUCCGGUGAAGAAACAUAUAGGUUACUGAUAUAUGGAUCGAAAAUUUCAUCGUGAUCGAUUGAUACAGAAAAGAAAGGCAGGCAUCAGAAGAGGAAGAAUUCUUUAUAUUUAUUAUUAAAGUUAUACAUAUAUUAUAUAUAUUAUAUUCAAC